rnacentral:lncRNA from 1 species
CUGGGUGGAAGACAAGCCAUAUGUCUGCUGUGAGUCCUGCUCUACUAAAUGCAUGAUAUGGGUGAACACAAAUGGGACAUACUGAAAAUUUCAGCUCUCAGAGAAAGGGAUAAACCUGCUCACUUGGAGUGACCGACUCCUAAUCCAGAAGAACUGGUGGGUAGUGAUGAAGAUGAGAUAGGAACUUAGGGAUAAAGGGCUCGGGUCAUCUGGUCAUCCAAGGGUUUGUAACAGGAGAGGGAGGAAAUAUGCACCCUGGAUUUCAGAAGAACAGGUUUCUAACGAUGGAUAACAUGCCAAAGAAGGAGAGAGAGCACUAUCUCAGGAAGAUGGACCAGAUAGGGUUUAGUGGGAGUCAUGGGCCAAAUUUAGAAGGCUUCAUGGUGAAAAGCUUGCUUUCUUGCUCACUUAGUUAAUAAACAUCCCUGAGGAUGCAGAGAUGAAUGAGACACGAUGUGGCACUGUCCUCAAGGUGCUCUCGAAUCGGUGUUGGGGGAAUGUGGUGAAAAGAAAAGAAAGAGGGAAGUCAGAGACACAGGCGGCUCACACGGGAGGAGGAGGUAAUGUCCUGGAGAGAGGGGAUGGAGAUCUCAGUAUUGAAGGGCGAGGGUCUUCAUCAGGUUGGCAAGGCAAGGAUGGAUCAUUCAGGCAGAGGGAAUGGGACACACAUGGUCAAGAGGUAAAGAGGCACAUGAGGUACCCAGGGAACGACAGACAGUACAAUACACCUGCACAGAAGGUACCAGUCUCAAGGUGAGACUUUACGUGGUGCACCUGAGAAGCCACCAGAGAGUUUGAGCAGGGAAAUGACAGGACCAGGCAACCCUCUGGAAAGGUAUCGCUGAAAGCUGUGCCAAGGGAUGGACAAGACCGGGGCUGGGGGAGCCUCUAGGCCAGGAAAGUGAAGAGAAGGGAGGGGUAAGACCGAUUCCAGGUUCCUGGCUCGGGUGACUGGGCAGAUGGGUGCCACUGGGAGAUGCUGAAAGUUUCAUCUCUCGGAGAAAGGGGCAAAGCUGCUGCCUGGAGUGAUGGACUCCUAAUCUGGAAGAACUGGUGGGUGGUGAUGCGGACAGGUUAGGG